AGAGUUUGAUCCUGGCUCAGGAUGAACGCUGGCGGCGUGCCUAAUACAUGCAAGUCGAACGAGAACUAUCGGAUCUUCGGAACUGAGAAAUUCUAGUGGCGAACGGGUGAGUAACGCGUUGGUGACCUGCCCCGAAGAGGGGGAUAACGGUUCGAAAGAACCGCUAAUACCCCAUGAGCUCACGAGAGUUAGAGGUCUUGUGAGGAAAGGAGUAAUCCGCUUCGGGAGGGGCCUGCGUCCCAUCAGCUAGUUGGUAGGGUAAAAGCCUACCAAGGCGAUGACGGGUAGGGGACCUGAGAGGGUGACCCCCCACAAUGGAACUGAAACACGGUCCAUACACCUACGGGUGUCAGCAGUAGGGAAUAUUGCUUAAUGGACGAAAGUCUGAAGCAGCAACGCCGCGUGUACGAUGAAGGCCUUCGGGUUGUAAAGUACUUUUUGUAGGGAUGAGGAAGGACAGUACCUGCAGAAUAAGCCUCGGCUAACUACGUGCCAGCAGCCGCGGUAAAACGUAGGAGGCGAGCGUUAUCCGGAUUUACUGGGCGUAAAGCGCGUGUAGGCGGAUUGGUAAGUUAGCUGUGAAAGCUCCUGGCUUAACUAGGAGAUGUCGGUUAAUACUGCCAGUCUAGAGUAUGUGAGAGGGAAGUGGAAUUCCGGGUGUAGUGGUGAAAUGCGUAGAUAUCCGGAGGAACACCAGAGGCGAAGGCGGCUUCCUGGCACAUUACUGACGCUCAGACGCGAAAGCUAGGGGAGCGUACGGGAUUAGAGACCCCGGUAGUCCUAGCUGUAAACGAUGUAGACUUGGCGUUGGUGGGGUCAAACCCAUCAGUGCCGGAGCUAACGCAUUAAGUCUACCGCCUGGGGACUACGGCCGCAAGGUUAAAACUCAAAGGAAUUGACGGGGACCCGCACAAGCAGCGGAGCGUGUGGUUUAAUUCGAUAUUACACGAAGAACCUUACCAGGGUUUGACAUGCAAGUGGUAGUGAAGCGAAAGCAGAACGACCCUUCGGGGAGCUUGCACAGGCCUGCAUGGCUGUCGUCAGCUCGUGUCGUGAGAUGUUCGGUUAAGUCCGCUAACGAGCGCAACCCUCGUCGUGUGUUACAAGUGUCACGCGAGACCGCCGGUCAUAAACCGGAGGAAGGUGGGGAUGACGUCAAGUCAGCAUGGCCUUUAUGUCCUGGGCUACACACACGCUACAAUGGCCAGUACAAUUGGUAGCGAAGUCGCGAGGCGGAGCCAAUCCGUAAAAGCUGGCCCCAGUUCAGAUUGUAGGCUGCAACCCGCCUGCAUGAAGAUGGAGUUGCUAGUAACCGCAGGUCAGCAAUACUGCGGUGAAUACGUUCCCGGGUCUUGUACACACCGCCCGUCACGUCAUGGGAGCUGGCAAUGCCUGAAGCCGGUAUUCUAACCCGCAAGGGAGGGAGCCGUCAAAGGCAGGGUCGGUAACUGGGACGAAGUCGAAGCAAGGUA
rnacentral:rRNA from 1 species